ACUUCCAGUCCCAAAAGACCAGUCACUUACCCCAGUCUAUGGCACCUUAGAUCUCUUACCAAAGAUAACACUUGUAGCUAAUCCUAUAAUAAACUAACUAAAGGUUUAUUAACUAGGAAAAAGAAAUGUGUUAUUUACAAGGUUAAAACAGGUAA